UACAGAGGGGGCAAGCGUUGUUCGGAAUUACUGGGCGUAAAGGGCGCGUAGGCGGCCUGUUAAGUCGAACGUGAAAUCCCCGGGCUCAACCCGGGAACUGCGUCCGAUACUGGCAGGCUUGAAUUCGGGAGAGGGAUGCGGAAUUCCAGGUGUAGCGGUGAAAUGCGUAGAUAUCUGGAGGAACACCGGUGGCGAAGGCGGCGAUCCUGGACCGAGAUUGACGCUGAGGCGCGAAAGCCAGGGGAGCAAACGGGG
rnacentral:rRNA from 1 species